rnacentral:misc_RNA from 1 species
CAUUCCUUCCGCGGAAAGUAAACAAGUUCUCGAGUGAAGCGGGGAACUCGACUCUUAUUUUGCCUGGUUCUGCUGAGUUACUCGUUGUUUUAGGAGAACUCACAAACUUGUAUCCAAGAACAGUUUUCACAACCAAGUAUUAUAUAAGUUCUGCUGAAGAUUAUUACAAACUACAAGUAUGGAUAAUCUACGGUUUGCUGGAGACGAUGAUGAGGACCUUUAUUCCGGGUUUGAUUCUGUUCAUCCUGCCCUCGACACACGGCAGCUAGAUGCUGAUCAGGGAUUUCAAGAAGCUGUUCGUACCAGCUAUGGCAGACGGCCGCCAACUCAGAGUCGAGCUCCCACAACAGCUGCUCGUCUCACUUCUGCAGCUGGGAUUCGGUUAGGGACUGGGCAAGGUACUGCGUUGGUGUUGAAUAGUUCAGUUGGCCAGGUUGGUCCAGGAUCAAGCGAUGGACUCAAAAGACCAAUGACCAGCAUGAGAGGAACAGGUUACACAUCCCAAUCUAAUGUGUUUGAUCCCCUCAACCAAGCAAGCAAAGGACCUGCACCUGCUUUGAUAUCUAAGACUGAUGAGAGCCCAGAAGAGAAGAUAAAGUCACUUGAGCGUCGGGUAAUGGGACUUAUUGAAGAAUCUUGCAUGGCUGCAUCAAGGGGAGAAAUCCGCCUGGCCCUUGACAGAGCCAAAGAGGCAUCGAGUAAAGAGCGAUCUCUCAUAAGGCAACGAGAACAAGCAGGAUUGUCAGAUGGACAUAAUUUGGAUCUCACUUUCUCAGUACUGUUUAACCUGGCUAACCAGUAUGCUGCUAACGACAUGUACACAGAAGCCCUAAAUACAUAUCAGGUCAUUACAAAAGACCGUAUGUUUAACAAUUCUGGGAGGCUUCGAGUCAACAUGGGUAACAUCCACUACAAGAUGGGACAGUAUAACAAGGCCAUAAAAUUUUACCGCAUGGCUUUAGAUCAGGUUCCUAAUACUCAUAAAAGUAUGAGGAUAAAAAUAAUGCACAAUAUUGGCCUGGUGUUUGUCAAGAUGGCACAGUAUUCUGAGGCAUGUACCAGUUUUGAAUACAUUAUGCAAGAGGAGGCAAACUUCAAGACUGGGCUGGAUUUAGUUACAGCAUAUUAUGCUCUUGGAGACAAGGAAAAGAUGAAGAAAGGUUUCCUUCGUCUACUUGAAUGCCAAUUAGAUAUUGAUGAUGAUGAGAAGUACACAACUUCAUCAGAAGACACUCAAUCCAACCUGAUUCUUGAGGUCAUUCGCAACGAUCCUCUUCGAAAGAUGGAGAGGCAGAUGAAACAAGAGGCUGAACGUUCUAUACUUACUGCAGCAAAACUCAUUUCACCUGUUAUUGAAAAUACCUUCAGUGAGGGUUACAACUGGUGUGUUGAUGCCAUCAAGAAUUCUCAGUAUGCUGAUCUGGCAAAUGAUCUGGAAAUCAAUAAAGCUGUCAUGUUUUUGAGGCAAAAGAACUUUAAAGAUGCUGUAGAAACUCUCAAAAUGUUUGAAAAGAAGGAGACCAAAGUAGCCAGCACAGCAGCUACAAAUCUUUCCUUCUUGUACUUCUUGCAAAAUGAAAUUGACCUGGCUGAAAAAUACGCCCUCAUGGCAAGGGAUUCUAAUGGCUACAAUGACUCCGCCCUUGUGAAUUUGGGGAACUGCUGCUUCAAUAGGAAAGAUUAUGAGAAGGCUCGUGAACACUACAUAGCUGCCUUAGACAUAGAUGCAUCGUGUGUGGAAGCUUUAUACAACCUUGGGCUAACAAACAAGAAACUUGGACGCUAUGAUGAGGCAUUAGACUCAUUGCUGAAAAUGCAUGCUAUUGUUCGCAAUUAUCCACCAGUAGUCUACCAGAUUGCCAGCUUGUAUCAGGAGCUGAGUGACAUUGACCAGGCUUCUGAGUGGUACUUACAAUUACUUGGUCUGGUUCCAACUGACCCUCACAUCCAUCAGCGACUAGGCCAGCUUUUUGACUCUGAAGGUGACAAGCAGCAAGCAUACCAGUACUACUUUGAUUCUUACAGAUAUUUCCCAAGCAACCUGGAAGUAAUUGAUUGGCUGGGAUCCUACUUCAUUGAGCACCAGGUUGCAGAAAAGGCAAUUAGCUACUUUGAAAGAGCUGCAUUGAUGCAACCUGAUGAAGUAAAGUGGCAAUUGAUGACGGCUGCAUGCCACAGGCGGUCAGGCAGCUACCAACAGGCAUUGCAGACAUACAAGCAGAUCCAUCGAAGAUUCCCAGAAAAUAUAGAGUGUCUGAAAUUGCUGAUUCGACUCAGUAGUGACCUAGGGUUAAAGGAAGCAGCUGAGUAUGCCCAAGAGCUGAAAAAGGCAGAAAGGGCCCAAGAGCAGCGUGAGAGUCGAGCUGCCAGCGGCUCUCGUCCUGGAUCUCGAAGAAAAUCCACCAUCUGUAACCUAAGUCAUUCAUCUUACCAUCCACCGUCUGUCAUAAAAAAACAUGAUCCUACCCUCAAAUGGAAUAUCCAUUGUCAUAUACUGAGGAGUAACUGAGGAAUGCCUUGUCUUAUCUGCUAUGCUUGUCUGUUGUAAAAUCAAACUUAAAUUUACUUCAACCAACUAGCUAAUGAAGGUUGGUUUAGCCAGUAUUAUUCUAUAGCAGUGUACUUUAAUCUACUAAAUUAAAUAUUCAUGUGACAGCUGGUUUAUGAUAUUGCCCUUUUACAGAAUAUGUUAUAAUUUUUAUGUCAUAGCUGUCAUAUCAAUUCAUAACUUUUUUGGUACAUUAAUCUUAAUUCUUUAUUUGCAUCACAUUUAUAUUUGUCGAGUUUCAGUAGAUUCAUAUCUUCAAACAAAGGUAUCUAUAGAUACAGAUAUGUGUUUAUCCAAGUCAUCAAUGAAAACACUCCAAGGGGGAUAAGUAGUUGAAAUCAUAGCUGCAUCUUAAACAGUAGUUAUGAGGCACACUGAGUAGAAGGAUCCUGUCCCGCACGUAGUUUGACGUACAGCCAUUCUUGAGUAUCAUUGUUACUGCAACCUCCAGAUCAUCUUCUCGGGCUUCACGUAGUGGCUCAGCUGCUUCUGGCCACGAGGAACCAGGGGCUUUACCUCCCAAGAGUCCAGGUCCAGGUGCUAGGUAAGAAAAUGUGUGGGGAAAGCAACAUGUGUGACCAGUUCCUGACCAGUAACAAAGAGUGAAUGAACAGAAGAGAUAUGAAGUUAAGAUUGGGUCAAAGAUUAUCUAGGCUUGAAGAGAAAAUGUGGGACAAUUGUGGAAGAUGAGAAGUAGCAUUAACUUGAAAUACUUUACAAGCAACAGAAAAAGUGUGUUUAGAUGUUCACCUCAUAUGACAACCACUAGACUCUGCCGUUAUGUCACAACAGCUCAUUUCUGUCAUAUAGCAUGGAACUAUGAAUUAUUAUACUGAUGCAUUGAUGCUUUACAGAGCAAGUUCCCGUGGCUCUCGCAGUAUCCCAGGUUCAGCCAUGAGUGGCAGAAUGACACGCCUCUCACUUAAUGAGCUUGAUGAGAAUGAACCAUUUGUGCCAUCUAACAAGGAAGUUGACAGCAGCUAUGUGGAUCCCUUAGGCCCACU